rnacentral:lncRNA from 1 species
CCAGGGGGCGGUGUGCGCCCCCGGCGCUGGAGCAGCCGCGUUUCGGGGACCCGGGCAGGCGUGGGGGGCUGCGCUGAGCUCCAGGCCUCCUGCAGGUGCAAUAAGAAUCGUAUUACUAAUGUGGUGUCCUCUGGAAUGGUCACAUGAACACAGUUCCCUGCAGAUGUAAUUGGGAGAGAAGGCACAGUCCUGACACAGGGUUUCUCCUUCUCGUCUUCCAAAGCUGUGCCUUAACUUCCUCGAAAGACAACAUCAGUGCUGGCGGGCCUCAAGAAGAGCCAUCCCAAGGUAUUGACUAGGCAUCAGCGUCUUCACCAGGGCAACACAGAACAUCCCUGCAGAGUUCCUGGUGGCUGCAGUGGCUGGUAGGGGAUGUAUGCCUGCUUUCCAUCAGAUUCCCAAAGCGGAGCCCCUGGAGGCUUUGGCCCAUGGCCCUGAAGCUCCCUUUCACAAGGAAGAAAGACUUUGCAAAGCCAACACCACUAUUGGAGAGAAAGUGGAGAAUGUGUAUUAGAAGUACUAGUCUUUGAAGGCAAAACAGCUGUAUAGAGUGAGCUUAAGUGCUGGAUCCCUGUGGUUAGGAAGGGACACUAAGCCUCCGGGAUGUGAGAGUCCCAUGGAAGGCAGUAGGCCCAGGAUAAAGCAGGUGUCAGCUCAGAAAGCCCACCAUCACCCAGAAAAGGGAAGAAAUACGCUACCACCAUCACUCUUUCUGCCAAUGACUUCUUUGCACACCUCCACCCUAUCUCCUGGCUCAGUCUCCCAUGUUCUCAUAGCUAGGGAGGUCUCCAUUGUAAUUUGUAUGGGGAGGUUAACCUAUAGGCCAUUCUGAUGAUCCCAGCUCCCUUUCACUACAACCCCCGUCUGCAUCCUUUGCUUUGCAGUAGGAUUUGAGAGAGGAAGGAUGAAGAUGUAGCCACAGGAUACAUUUAAACAGGCACAGAGUUUGAGGGGUGGGGGGGAACAAAAGCAAAACAAUAAAACCUUCACCAGUCAUUAAAGAAAUGAAAAUGAACCUUU